UACGUAGGUUGCAAGCGUUGUCCGGAAUUAUUGGGCGUAAAGGGCUCGUAGGCGGUUUGUCGCGUCGGGAGUGAAAACCUCGGGCUUAACUCGGGGCUUGCUUUCGAUACGGGCAGACUAGAGGUAUGCAGGGGAGAACGGAAUUCCUGGUGUAGCGGUGAAAUGCGCAGAUAUCAGGAGGAACACCGGUGGCGAAGGCGGUUCUCUGGGCAUGAUCUGACGCUGAGGAGCGAAAGUGUGGGGAGCGAACAGG
rnacentral:rRNA from 1 species